GGGGAUAGGCCGGAUCCUGGGCUGUGUCCCAGUGCCCUGUGCUCCCGGGCCUGCGUUGUUGGUUUCGCACUCCUGGUUGCGCAGCCC
rnacentral:pre_miRNA from 1 species